rnacentral:rRNA from 3 species
CAAAGAUUAAGCCAUGCAUGUCUCAGUACAAGCCAAAUUAAGGUGAAACCGCGAAAGGCUCAUUAAAUCAGUUAUGGUUCCUUAGAUCGUACCCACAUUUACUUGGAUAACUGUGGUAAUUCUAGAGCUAAUACAUGCAAACAGAGCUCCGACCGGAGACGGAAGGAGCGCUUUUAUUAGAUCAAAACCAAUCGGUGGCGGGUCUCCCGUCACCGUACACCUUGGUGACUCUGAAUAACUUAUUGCUGAUCGCACGGUCUCGCACCGGCGACGCAUCUUUCAAAUGUCUGCCUUAUCAACUGUCGAUGGUAGGUUCUGCGCCUACCAUGGUUGUAACGGGUAACGGGGAAUCAGGGUUCGAUUCCGGAGAGGGAGCCUGAGAAACGGCUACCACAUCCAAGGAAGGCAGCAGGCGCGCAAAUUACCCACUCCCGGCACGGGGAGGUAGUGACGAAAAAUAACGAUACGGGACUCAUCCGAGGCCCCGUAAUCGGAAUGAGUACACUCUAAACCCUUUAACGAGGAUCAAUUGGAGGGCAAGUCUGGUGCCAGCAGCCGCGGUAAUUCCAGCUCCAAUAGCGUAUAUUAAAGUUGUUGCGGUUAAAAAGCUCGUAGUCGAAUUUGUGUCCCGCGCCGCCGGUUCAUCGCUCGCGGUGUCAACUGGCGUGUCCGCGGGACGUCCUGCCGGUGGGCUUAGCCCCCCGUGGGCGGCCCAAUCUCAAUCCCACCGCGGUGCUCUUCACUGAGUGUCGAGGUGGGCCGGCACGUUUACUUUGAACAAAUUAGAGUGCUUAAAGCAGGCUAAAACAUCGCCUGAAUACUGUGUGCAUGGAAUAAUGGAAUAGGACCUCGGUUCUAUUUUGUUGGUUUUCGGAACCCCGAGGUAAUGAUUAAUAGGAACGGAUGGGGGCAUUCGUAUUGCGACGUUAGAG